CUACGGGCGGCAGCAGUCGAGAAUCUUCGGCAAUGGACGCAAGUCCGACCGAGCGACGCCGCGUGCGGGAUGAAGGCCCUCGGGUUGUAAACCGCUGUCGGAGGGGAUGAAAUGCCAGGUGGCUAUCCGUCUGGUUUGACAAAUCCUCGGAGGAAGGACGGGCUAAGUUCGUGCCAGCAGCCGCGGUAAGACGAACCGUCCGAACGUUAUUCGGAAUCACUGGGCUUAAAGGGUACGUAGGCGGCCUGGAAAGUUGGGUGUGAAAUCCCUCGGCUCAACCGAGGAACUGCACUCAAAACUGCCAGGCUUGAGGGAGAUAGAGGUGAGCGGAACUCAGGGUGGAGCGGUGGAAUGCGUUGAUAUCCUGGGGAACACCAGUUGCGAAGGCGGCUCACUGGGUCUCUUCUGACGCUGAGGUACGAAAGCUAGGGGAGCGAACGGGAUUAGAUACCCUCGUAGUC
rnacentral:rRNA from 1 species